rnacentral:rRNA from 1 species
AAUGAACGUUGGCGGCGUGGAUUAGGCAUGCAAGUCGAGCGAGAACCGUAGCAAUACGGGGACAGCGGCGAAAGGGACAGUAAUGUGUAGGUACCUACCCCCGGGUUCGGGAUAGCUGCGGGAAACUGCAGGUAAUACCGAAUAAUGUCUCCGGACCAAAGGUGUGAUUCCACCUGGGGAGGGGCCUGCAUCCUAUUAGCUUGUUGGUGGGGUAACGGCCUACCAAGGCAACGAUGGGUAGCGGGUGUGAGAGCAUGACCCGCGUCAUUGGGACUGAGACACGGCCCAGACACCUACGGGUGGCUGCAGUCGAGGAUCUUCGGCAAUGGGCGCAAGCCUGACCGAGCGACGCCGCGUGCGGGAUGAAGGCCUUCGGGUUGUAAACCGCUGUCGUAGGGGAGGAAAUGCAGGAGGGUUCUCCCUCCUGUUUGACCUAUCCUAGGAGGAAGUACGGGCUAAGUUCGUGCCAGCCGCCGCGGUAA